CCGGGCGCGCUCCCGCCGCAGCCCGGCGCGUUCCCGCGGCGCGAGGCAGCUCCCGGCCCGGCGGGGCACGAGGCGCGCUCCCGGCUCGGAAUUAGGGGGGGGGGGCACGGGCCGGUCCUGCCCCCCCCCCCGAGGGGAGGUCGCUGCUGCCUGCGGGUGGGCGAGGGGCUGCGCCCGGGGGCUUCUCCCGGCGCUUUCGGUGGCACCGGCUGCGGGCAGCACAGCGAGGGGUGACCCCCCCCCCGGCAGCACAGCGAGGAGCGAGCCCCCCCGGCUCAGUGCAGGACCCAUUUCUACCCCUGCACCCAACGCCCCGGGGAUGGGCACCCAGGGCAGCAGCAAGGAGCGAGGUUUCGGUUCCUCGUUGCAAAUGUUGCAAAAACCAAGUUGGUGCACGGAGCCCACGGGGUGCAGGCUCACAACACAGCCAGGGUUAAUGAAACCUCGCUGCGUGCCUCAGCCCCUUACCCUUCCUUCUCUUCAACUCGAAGGCAAGGACCUCUGGGUGCUGAUCUUGGCGCUCCCUCAGCAGCUGGAUGCGAUCGUCCUCCCCCGAGCUUUCCGCAGGAGCAGACCUCUGGCUCCCCCAGCCCUCCCAUCCUCCUGCUGUUUGCCUCCUCUCUCAGGAAGCCGGCUGAGCGCUGGUGCAGACCCGCAGUGCAAUAUUCUGCAAGCCACUGGCUGCUCAAGGCCCUGUUGUUCUGCCCUUUCUCCUCUGGCUCACCAGCGGCUGUGCAAGCUCGCUAAAAUAGUAAUGAGCGCCAUCUGUUUGAGCAGCACAGCUCCAUUUAAUCAGGUGUGGCCGGACGGUCGUGUCCCCUCUCCUGAACCUGGGAGAGGUUACACAACACAGAUGCAGCAAUCAGGUCCUCACGGCCCUGCCAGAGUCACCGUGAGCACCUCUGAGCUUUUUCUGGCUCGAGUGAUUCGUUUGUGGUUUCCAGCAGCGAAGGUUGUGGCAAAGCUUCCCCAGUUACAUUGCCUGGGAAACAUCUGGAACACCCGCAGCCUGCUGGAGUCAGUGACUUCCCCUGAACUCAGCGCAGGGGCUGUCCCGAGGUGUUAUUCCUGUCCUGCAGAGUCCACGUGUGGCACUCCAGGAUCAGGCCCCACUCCCCCUUCCCCUCCUGACCCGUUUGUUCCUGCCUCCAAGCGCUUUGAGGAGCCCUCUGGAGAGAACCCUCGGGGUUACGCAGAGCAGCAAUAACCCAAACAAGGAGAGUGCCAAACAGCCAGUUCCAGAUCUGCAGAAAUCAUCUCUGCGAUGCAACAGAUGGUGCUCGGCCCGAGGAGAGCAGAGCAGAGCAGAAGGCUGCAGCAGCCCCCCCGGGUCACCCUCAGAGGCUCCUGGGGACCCUCGACCUGCAGGUGCCCAGACCAGGCUCACCCCCCCCCCUAAAGCUUUGCUCGCUCUCCCAGCCCUUCGCUCACCUGGUGCCAAAUACCCAAGGAGGCGCUGCCUGCGCAGGUGAUGCUCAGUGCUCGUUUGGCUCCAAGGUGGCACAGCUGAGCCCAGCCCUGCGCAGGGGUGAGCGCACCGAGCCCUGCUUCGGAUCAAAGGCCCGGAGGCACCUCGCUUCAGGAGCCUCCCCAGAGGUCUGGGGAAGAACACUGGGUGCCCGCACAGCCACGGCACGGACAGGGCAAUGACAGAGCAGGGCUCAGAUAUUUUUUUUGGCAUGUGUCAGAAGCCCUGACCCAAAAAACCCGAAGCAGAACGUGUAACACCCGAUCAGAAAGUGAACGCGCGCCUGGUCAUGGACGAGCUCAGCCUACAAAGCAUUCUCCAGCACCGGAGAGUCGAGAGCCAUGGUAAUGUGCUCUGAAAUAAUGCUUUUUUAAAUACAAUUUAUGAUAGAUUUCAUAGCUAAGUUAUGCAACAUAAUGAGCAAAUCUAAAAUGUAAUUGUCACUGCGCAUUAACAGCAAAAUCCUGAACCUCUAUUAUACUAACAAACUUAUUAAAUCAGUGAACAUUGCAUUGCAUCAGUCAAUUACUAAACCGAUGCUCAGAUCACUGGAACAAUCUGAUAUCCAUUAGACAGGCAGAAGGAGGGGAGCACAUCACCGGAGCUGCCCACGGGGUGACAUGUUUUAAAACAUUCAGUGUAUUUACGCUUUUGAUGCAGUGCUGCACCUGCGGGAUGUUUUGCUGCCACUUCCCCUGUUCCCAACGCAUCCCUAGAGUGCCGCUGUGCUGCGCAUGCACUCGAUGGGAAAAGGGCCGGGAUCCAGCCUCACAACGGUGCCUUCUCCGAGGAGCCUGAAGUUUGCCAGGGAGCCUGCAGGCCUGGGCCCCCUGGGGCAGGCACAGAUCUGAGAUCAUCCCUGGCUCCAGGGCGGGCUGGCGGACACCCGCCAGGGCCACACGUUUUCAG